GGCCCAGUCCCAUGCGGCGAAGAAUUGUGAAUCCCGCCAGGUCCGGAAGGAAGCAACGGUAAGCAAAGCUCUUCGAGCGCCGUGGCAAGCUGGGCCUCC
rnacentral:SRP_RNA from 1 species